rnacentral:rRNA from 1 species
UACGUAGGGGGCAAGCGUUGUCCGGAUUUAUUGGGCGUAAAGAGCGUGUAGGCGGCCAGAUAGGUCCGUUGUGAAAACUCGAGGCUCAACCUCGAGACGCCGAUGGAAACCAUCUGGCUAGAGUCCGGAAGAGGAGAGUGGAAUUCCUGGUGUAGCGGUGAAAUGCGCAGAUAUCAGGAAGAACACCCGUGGCUAAGGCGGCUCUCUAGUACGGUACUGACGCUGAGACGCGAAAGCGUGGGGAGCAAACAGG